rnacentral:rRNA from 1 species
CCGGCGAUUUCCGAAUGGGGAAACCCAGUGUGUUUCGACACACUAUCAUUAACUGAAUCCAUAGGUUAAUGAGGCGAACCGGGGGAACUGAAACAUCUAAGUACCCCGAGGAAAAGAAAUCAACCGAGAUUCCCCCAGUAGCGGCGAGCGAACGGGGAGGAGCCCAGAGCCUGAAUCAGUGUGUGUGUUAGUGGAAGCGUCUGGAAAGGCGCGCGAUACAGGGUGACAGCCCCGUACACAAAAAUGCACAUACUGUGAGCUCGAUGAGUAGGGCGGGACACGUGGUAUCCUGUCUGAAUAUGGGGGGACCAUCCUCCAAGGCUAAAUACUCCUGACUGACCGAUAGUGAACCAGUACCGUGAGGGAAAGGCGAAAAGAACCCCGGCGAGGGGAGUGAAAAAGAACCUGAAACCGUGUACGUACAAGCAGUGGGAGCCUCUUUUAUGGGGUGACUGCGUACCUUUUGUAUAAUGGGUCAGCGACUUAUAUUCUGUAGCAAGGUUAACCGAAUAGGGGAGCCGAAGGGAAACCGAGUCUUAACUGGGCGUUAAGUUGCAGGGUAUAGACCCGAAACCCGGUGAUCUAGCCAUGGGCAGGUUGAAGGUUGGGUAACACUAACUGGAGGACCGAACCGACUAAUGUUGAAAAAUUAGCGGAUGACUUGUGGCUGGGGGUGAAAGGCCAAUCAAACCGGGAGAUAGCUGGUUCUCCCCGAAAGCUAUUUAGGUAGCGCCUCGUGAAUUCAUCUCCGGGGGUAGAGCACUGUUUCGGCAAGGGGGUCAUCCCGACUUACCAACCCGAUGCAAACUGCGAAUACCGGAGAAUGUUAUCACGGGAGACACACGGCGGGUGCUAACGUCCGUCGUGAAGAGGGAAACAACCCAGACCGCCAGCUAAGGUCCCAAAGUCAUGGUUAAGUGGGAAACGAUGUGGGAAGGCCCAGACAGCCAGGAUGUUGGCUUAGAAGCAGCCAUCAUUUAAAGAAAGCGUAAUAGCUCACUGGUCGAGUCGGCCUGCGCGGAAGAUGUAACGGGGCUAAACCAUGCACCGAAGCUGCGGCAGCGACGCUUAUGCGUUGUUGGGUAGGGGAGCGUUCUGUAAGCCUGCGAAGGUGUGCUGUGAGGCAUGCUGGAGGUAUCAGAAGUGCGAAUGCUGACAUAAGUAACGAUAAAGCGGGUGAAAAGCCCGCUCGCCGGAAGACCAAGGGUUCCUGUCCAACGUUAAUCGGGGCAGGGUGAGUCGACCCCUAAGGCGAGGCCGAAAGGCGUAGUCGAUGGGAAACAGGUUAAUAUUCCUGUACUUGGUGUUACUGCGAAGGGGGGACGGAGAAGGCUAUGUUGGCCGGGCGACGGUUGUCCCGGUUUAAGCGUGUAGGCUGGUUUUCCAGGCAAAUCCGGAAAAUCAAGGCUGAGGCGUGAUGACGAGGCACUACGGUGCUGAAGCAACAAAUGCCCUGCUUCCAGGAAAAGCCUCUAAGCAUCAGGUAACAUCAAAUCGUACCCCAAACCGACACAGGUGGUCAGGUAGAGAAUACCAAGGCGCUUGAGAGAACUCGGGUGAAGGAACUAGGCAAAAUGGUGCCGUAACUUCGGGAGAAGGCACGCUGAUAUGUAGGUGAAGCGACUUGCUCGUGGAGCUGAAAUCAGUCGAAGAUACCAGCUGGCUGCAACUGUUUAUUAA